rfam:Serratia fonticola strain DSM 4576, complete genome.
AGAUAAAAAAAGACCGAGUACGAUUCCUAUACUCGGUCUAGGGAAAGGGCUCUUGGGAGAGAGCCGUGCGCUAAAAGUUGGCAUUUAUGCAAGGUUUGUUCAACCGUGCAUUCUAAGAAUAGUCUAAGGUGCAAGUUUUGCCAGCCC